UGACUCCGCCACAAAGGAUCCUCUUUCCCCCGGAGAAGAUUUGCAUGGUCUGGCAGCAAAGACAGAGUGCUGGAGCAGGACUCCGCAAUGUGGGCAACACAUGCUUCCUUAAUGCUGUCCUGCAAUGCCUGACAUACACCCCGCCGCUGGCCAACUAUCUGCUCUCCCGGGAGCACAGCCAGGCCUGUCACCAACAAGGCUUCUGCAUGAUGUGCAUCAUGGAAGCGCAUGUUAACAAGGUCCUGCAUUCCUCAGUCAGUGCCAUCCUGCCUUUGGCUGUUCUCAGGGGUUUCAGACUCAUAGGAGAACAUUUUCAGCUUGGCAGGGAGGAAGAUGCCCAUGACUUCUUAUGCUGUACUGUCAAUGCCAUGCAGAGAGCUUGUCUGAGUGCAAGCAACGA